CCAAAAGAUUGGAAAGCAAAAAUGAUAGCGGUACAAGAAGCAAAAGUUCUCUCAAAGCUGUCCAUAGAAGAGUUAAUGGGUUUAGUCAUAACACAUGAGUUGAAGUUGCACCAAAAAGAAGAAGAAGAAGAGCUUAAAAAGAAGAAAACCAUUGCUUUCAAGUCCGCCAAAUUUGAUGGAAGUGAUGAGUAGGAUGAUGGUGAUGAAGAAGAGAGUGAGGAUGAUGAGGACAUGGUACUACUCUCAAAAAAAGUUAAAAAGUUCCUCAUGAAGAAAUGCUUGAAGGAGAAAGAAAAUGAAGAA
rnacentral:lncRNA from 1 species